ACGGCGAACGGGUGAGUAACACGUGGGCAACCUGCCCCAGGCUCUGGGAUAGCUCCGGGAAACCGGGGCUAAUACCGGAUAUUCUCGGACCCCCUCAUGAGGGAUCGAGGAAAGCUCCGGCGGCCUGGGAUGGGCCCGCGGCCUAUCAGCUUGUUGGUGGGGUAACGGCCUACCAAGGCGACGACGGGUAGCUGGCGUGAGAGCGUGACCAGCCACACUGGGACUGAGAUACGGCCCAG
rnacentral:rRNA from 1 species